rnacentral:rRNA from 1 species
UUUAAGCAUAUCACUCAGUGGAGGAAAGGCAAGCAACCGCGAUUGCUCCAGUAACGGCGAGUGAACCGGCAGGCACAAGCAGAACAGAGGGGUUGUUUGUGACGUGGGCUCCCCUUGAGAUACAAUCACACGAGAUUCCCUGUCAAAGACCCUACGCUGUGGGGCAGAUCUACUAGAAUCAGACCUGUGGACCGGCUGUCUCAGACUGUGGGCAAUCUUGUCAAGCAAUCAUCAUGCUGUGAGCUGAGGGAGCCGCUGGUGGGCUCCGGUUGUGACCCUGGCACCAGGCAGAGGGCUCUGGAAUGAGCCGCACGUGUGGGUGACAGUCCCCAACCACAGCGCGUGCCUGGGGUUCACCGGAGUUCCUGCCAGUUGGCAUCCCGGAGUAGAGUGGCUUGGGACUGCAGUUUGAAGCGUGAUGUGUAUCCAUCACAAGGAAGCAUACAGACCUGGGACCGAUAGCGCACAAGUAGAGCAAUCGAAGGAUGCAAAGAACUCCGUGAAGAGGGUUAAAAGCCCCUGAAGCCGUCAUGGGAACGGUGGUGAGUGGUGCUGUGGCUGUGUGAAGGUGCUAGCUCCUCCCCGCUGGGAGGCCUGAUGUUGCUCCAAAAGGCACACACGAGCGGUGUGGAUCAAUGAGAUUCCUGGUGGACUCCCCUCUGGGGAGAGAGAGGCAAUGUGUGGCUACUACCUUCCGGAUACCGUCCAAGCACCCUCGGGCCAGCCCUGGGCUGGUCACUGAGCCCCCACCCUCCUGGGGUGUGGGGACGCAGUCGUGACAGCCAUCAAGGUGACACCCUGCCUGUCAGGGCCUGAGGGGAUGCUACAUGAUUGUGAAGGCAAACAAGCAGUGGUCUGACCAGCCAACUGACUCAGUGCAAGUGUGACUCGAGGCAAGGCAAAAGCAGUGCUGACGUAACACCCAAAACCCUGGCUGCUGUGUGGUGGCUCUCCCCUGAGACCACCCCACACGCACCCCGGGGUCCACUGGGGUUCCCCAAUGGAUCUGGGGUCUGGCGCCCGCGUGGUGGCUGCACCAUUCUGACUGGUGGCCGCCGCGCUGGGCUCGCUGACCCCCCACUGGGGGCCCCAGUGCAGAGGACGCGUGGAUUCUGAGCUUGGCCCAUCCUGUGGUGGUGCCGCUCUCUGCCCGUCUUGAAACACGGACCAAGGAGUCUAUGGAGUGUGCAGAGGUUGCAUGGAGCUCAAGUGUCAAACCACAGGGCGUGGUGAAGGCAAACCGGCAAGGGAGGCAGACACCCCAGAAGUGCCCCGGCUCAAGACCGGGGCCUGCGUGGGUUGAGCCCUCCUCCGUCCCAGAUUGCGUCUGAAUCAGGCCACAUCCAAGGGCCAGAGAGUCUUCUGCUGCACGGGAUCGCCAGUCCCGAAGUCCAUCGGACAGGGUUUUGAGUGCUUGCAUGGUCCAUGGGACCCGAAAGGUGGUGAACUAUACCAUUCUACAGCGAAGCCAUGGGAAACUGUGGUGGAGGCUGGUCCGCUGUUCUGACGUGCAAAUCGUGUAGCCUGAGCGUGGCAUAGGGGUGAAAGGCCAAUCGAGCCACCUAGUAGCUGGUUCCCUUCGAAGUUUCCCUCAGGAUAGCUGGGCUCAGAAGCAAAGGAUCUCUGAAGACAGGCAAAGGCAAGGCAAAACAGGCUGACAACCGCUGGUUGCGUCCGGUAAAGCAACGCAUGAGAGGCAUCUUCCGGGGGACCCCUGUCCCUCGACCUAUUCUCGAACUGUGAAUGGGCGUGGCGAACCCAAACAGUAGUACCUUCUCAGUGUGAUUUCAGCAGGAAGGCAUGCUUCUUCACAGGCCCCGGAGGCCACUGCUCCCACAGUGGUUCUCCCCCGCAAGGGGCAUCAUUUCUGAGCAUGUUCACAGGCAGAUGCUGCCAAAACACGGAGAACACAGGGGCCUAUGUGGGCCAUGACUGGUAAGCAGUGCUGGCGAUGCGGGGUGCUCCGAGAGUGGAUUUACAGAUCCGGAAUGCUGGCUCAUACUCAGAACCCACAAAGGAUGUUGCCUGCUCUGGAUAGCAGGACGGUGGCCAUGAAGGUUGGAACCCGCUGAGGAAUGUGUAACAACUCACCUGCCGAAGCGUGCAGCUCCGAAAAUGGAUGGUGCCCAAGUCAGUUGGAUGCAGCACGGUGGCGUUCCACCGUGGAGUCUCCCUCACAAUCCACCGUUAGCUGUGGAUAGCCAAAGCAGAGCAUCAACGUGUAGAAAGGGCAUGAGAGACAAGGCUGAGCCGGUUGGGGUUGCCCCUGACUGGAGUGUCUUCUGGCGCAGAUCUUGGUUGUAGUAGCGAAUACUCCAUUGAGUGAAACAAGGGUGUGGCACACAGCCCGCCACAAGGCUGCUCCCCCGUGGGGUGGCUGAGUGGUGGUGCCUGUCCCGUGCCUACACCUCCGCCAUGUGCGGUUGAGGACUGGAGUGGAGCAGGUUUCCACACCAAACAGCCGUUGAAUGUGGGUCAAGCGACCGUGAGUCAAGUGGUAAGUUCACAGAUGUCAACCAAAGCUGCCAAGGAGAGCCAUCCCACCCAGGCAUGAGACAAGGCCCGUCCCUCUGGCUCCCCCUGGGGUGUGUGAUGUGCUUCGAACACCAACAACGUCAGGGCUCGUGCGGGCAGGAAUGGCAAACAGGCAAGCAAGUGCAACAUUCUGCUGUGGUGAGGUUGGGGUGCCCCGGGACGGCAACGUCUGGUGUGCAUACGACAAGCAAGUUGACCGUGCUUCGGAAGCCAACCGGGCCUGAUGGUGUGUAUCCACCCCUGGAUCUCACCUGAAACCGGGGGGUCUCCGGGGUGCAACUGUGUGUGGAAUGAGCAGGCUUAGGGGCAGUGGCACCCCCGAGGAGUUAUCGUUUCCUCCUGAUGCAGACUCAUGUGGGCUACAGAUUGGCAUCUCAGUGUGGCGAUGUACCGUCCUCCGCUCAGCAAGGUGGUGUGCUCUGGGCAUGCCAGUGGUCUUUCUCUCUCUCGUUCACUGCUGGAAUGUGUGCAAAGGCAGGCAAUGUGGCCCCGUUGUGUGGUGUGGUUGGCCAACCAACCCCCCACACCGUGGGGUCCCACAGGGCUUGACCGUGACAAGUGUGUGGUGGUCACUGGCUCCAAUGAAAGGCCCGUCCAGGACGUGGUGCCCCCAGCAGCCUCUAUGGGGUCUCGUACUGAAUCACCGCAGCCGGUCUCCUCGACGAAAGGUCGCUAGUCCACGGAUGAAAUGCAGCUAAGGGAAGUCGGCAAACUGGCUGUGCACCUUCGGAAGAUGCAGUGGCUCCAGAGGCCAAGUGUCUCGUAUCGUGGGAGGCCCCGCGGCAGUGGCCAGGACCCCGGUCCUGUGCCGUGGCCGUGGGGGUCACCCCGGAGGCUGGGGAUUCCUAUCCCCGGCCACCGGUGUGGCCACCCUCCCCGCUGGGUCAGCCCACACGUCACGUGGGGGCUGCUGCCUGGCAAGGACUGUCUAUAGUGGCUCAUGUGGAACUGUUGCUGUGCAGGGGAAUCUAACUGUUUAAUUGAAACCCAGCUUUGUGACGGGACCAGCUGGCUGGUUCCAUGAGGUGACUUCUGCCCAGUGCUCUGAUUGUCAAUGCGAAGAGAUUCAGCCAAGCGCGGGUAAACGGCGGGAGUAACUAUGACUCUCUUAAGGUAGCCAAAUGCCUCGUCAACCAAUUAUUGACGCGCAUGAAUGGAUCAAUGAGAUUCCUGCUGUCCCUAGCCGCUGUCUGGUGAACCAACAACCAAGGGAACGGGCUUGGAUGUGUCAGCGGGGAAAGAAGAGCCUGUUGAGA